GACGAACGCUGGCGGCGUGCUUAACACAUGCAAGUCGAACGGUGAAGCGCCUUCCUUUUUGGUGGGUGUGGAUGAGUGGCGAACGGGUGAGUAACACGUGAGUAACCUGCCCCCUUCUUCUGGAUAACCGCAUGAAAGUGUGGCUAAUACGGGAUAUUCUGGGUCUGUCGCAUGAUGGGUCUGGGAAAGAUAUUGUUUCGGUGGGGGAUGGGCUCGCGGCCUAUCAGCUUGUUGGUGGGGUGAUGGCCUACCAAGGCGGUGACGGGUAGCCGGCCUGAGAGGGUGGACGGUCACACUGGGACUGAGACACGGCGCAGACUCCUACGGGAGGCAGCAGUGGGGAAUAUUGCACAAUGGGCGCAAGCCUGAUGCAGCGACGCCGCGUGAGGGAUGGAGGCCUGCGGGUUGUGAACCUCUUUCGCCAGUGAAGCAGGCCUGCCUCGUUUGUGGGUGGGUUGACGGUAGCUGGAUAAGAAGCGCCGGCUAACUACGUG
rnacentral:rRNA from 1 species